CACUAUCGUUAACUGAAUACAUAGGUUAACGAGGCGAACCGGGGGAACUGAAACAUCUAAGUACCCCGAGGAAAAGAAAUCAACCGAGAUUCCCCCAGUAGCGGCGAGCGAACGGGGAGCAGCCCGGAGUCUGAAUCAGCUUGUGUGUUAGUGGAAGCGUCUGGAAAGUCGCACGGUACAGGGUGACAGUCCCGUACACGAAAAUGCACAGGUUGUGAACUCGAAGAGUAGGGCGGGACACGUGGUAUCCUGUCUGAAUAUGGGGGGACCAUCCUCCAAGGCUAAAUACUCCUGACUGACCGAUAGUGAACCAGUACCGUGAGGGAAAGGCGAAAAGAACCCCGGCGAGGGGAGUGAAAAAGAACCUGAAACCGUGUACGUACAAGCAGUGGGAGCACCUUCGUGGUGUGACUGCGUACCUUUUGUAUAAUGGGUCAGCGACUUAUAUUCUGUAGCAAGGUUAACCGUAUAGGGGAGCCGCAGGGAAACCGAGUCUUAACUGGGCGUUAAGUUGCAGGGUAUAGACCCGAAACCCGGUGAUCUAGCCAUGGGCAGGUUGAAGGUUGGGUAACACUAACUGGAGGACCGAACCGACUAAUGUUGAAAAAUUAGCGGAUGACCUGUGGCUGGGGGUGAAAGGCCAAUCAAACCGGGAGAUAGCUGGUUCUCCCCGAAAGCUAUUUAGGUAGCGCCUCGUGAACUCAUCUUCGGGGGUAGAGCACUGUUUCGGCUAGGGGGCCAUCCCGGCUUACCAACCCGAUGCAAACUACGAAUACCGAAGAAUGUUAUCACGGGAGACACACGGCGGGUGCUAACGUCCGUCGUGAAGAGGGAAACAACCCAGACCGCCAGCUAAGGUCCCAAAGUCAUGGUUAAGUGGGAAACGAUGUGGGAAGGCACAGACAGCCAGGAUGUUGGCUUAGAAGCAGCCAUCAUUUAAAGAAAGCGUAAUAGCUCACUGGUCGAGUCGGCCUGCGCGGAAGAUGUAACGGGGCUAAACCAUGCACCGAAGCUGCGGCAGCGACGCUUAUGCGUUGUUGGGUAGGGGAGCGUUCUGUAAGCCGUUGAAGGUGUGCUGUGAGGCAUGCUGGAGGUAUCAGAAGUGCGAAUGCUGACAUAAGUAACGAUAAAGCGGGUGAAAAGCCCGCUCGCCGGAAGACCAAGGGUUCCUGUCCAACGUUAAUCGGGGCAGGGUGAGUCGACCCCUAAGGCGAGGCCGAAAGGCGUAGUCGAUGGGAAACAGGUUAAUAUUCCUGUACUUGGUGUUACUGCGAAGGGGGGACGGAGAAGGCUAUGUCAGCCGGGCGACGGUUGUCCCGGUUUAAGCGUGUAGGUGUGUGUUCCAGGCAAAUCCGGUUCACUUUAACACUGAGGCGUGAUGACGAGGCACUACGGUGCUGAAGUGAUAAAUGCCCUGCUUCCAGGAAAAGCCUCUAAGCAUCAGGUAACACGAAAUCGUACCCCAAACCGACACAGGUGGUCAGGUAGAGAAUACCAAGGCGCUUGAGAGAACUCGGGUGAAGGAACUAGGCAAAAUGGUGCCGUAACUUCGGGAGAAGGCACGCUGAUAUGUAGGUGAAGUCCCUGCGGACGGAGCUGAAAUCAGUCGAAGAUACCAGCUGGCUGCAACUGUUUAUUAAAAACACAGCACUGUGCAAACACGAAAGUGGACGUAUACGGUGUGACGCCUGCCCGGUGCCGGAAGGUUAAUUGAUGGGGUUAGCGGCAACGCGAAGCUCUUGAUCGAAGCCCCGGUAAACGGCGGCCGUAACUAUAACGGUCCUAAGGUAGCGAAAUUCCUUGUCGGGUAAGUUCCGACCUGCACGAAUGGCGUAAUGAUGGCCAGGCUGUCUCCACCCGAGACUCAGUGAAAUUGAACUCGCUGUGAAGAUGCAGUGUACCCGCGGCAAGACGGAAAGACCCCGUGAACCUUUACUAUAGCUUGACACUGAACACUGGUCCUUGAUGUGUAGGAUAGGUGGGAGGCUUUGAAGCGUGGACGCCAGUCUGCGUGGAGCCGUCCUUGAAAUACCACCCUUUAAUGGCUGGUGUUCUAACGUGGACCCGUGAUCCGGGUUGCGGACAGUGUCUGGUGGGUAGUUUGACUGGGGCGGUCUCCUCCCAAAGAGUAACGGAGGAGCACGAAGGUUAGCUAAUCCUGGUCGGACAUCAGGAGGUUAGUGCAAUGGCAUAAGCUAGCUUGACUGCGAGAGUGACGGCUCGAGCAGGUGCGAAAGCAGGUCAUAGUGAUCCGGUGGUUCUGAAUGGAAGGGCCAUCGCUCAACGGAUAAAAGGUACUCCGGGGAUAACAGGCUGAUACCGCCCAAGAGUUCAUAUCGACGGCGGUGUUUGGCACCUCGAUGUCGGCUCAUCACAUCCUGGGGCUGAAGUAGGUCCCAAGGGUAUGGCUGUUCGCCAUUUAAAGUGGUACGCGAGCUGGGUUUAGAACGUCGUGAGACAGUUCGGUCCCUAUCUGCCGUGGGCGCUGGAGAAUUGAGGGGGGCUGCUCCUAGUACGAGAGGACCGGAGUGGACGCAUCACUGGUGUUCGGGUUGUCAUGCCAAUGGCACUGCCCGGUAGCUAAAUGCGGAAGAGAUAAGUGCUGAAAGCAUCUAAGCACGAAACUUGCCCCGAGAUGAGUUCUCCCUGAGACUUUAAGUCUCCUGAAGGAACGUUGAAGACGACGACGUUGAUAGGCCGGGUGUGUAAGCGCAGCGAUGCGUUGAGCUAACCGGUACUAAUGAACCGUGAGGCUUAACCUUACAACGCCGAAG
rnacentral:rRNA from 1 species